AUACGGAGGAUCCAAGCGUUAUCCGGAUUUAUUGGGUUUAAAGGGUGCGUAGGCGGACUGGUAAGUCAGCUGUGAAAGUUUGCGGCUUAACCGUAAAAUUGAAGUUGAUCCUGUCAGUCUUGAGUGUGCAUGAGGUGGGCGGAAUUUGUGGUGUAGCGGUGAAAUGCUUAGAUAUCACGAGGAACUCCAAUUGCGAAGGCAGCUCACUGGGGCAUAACUGACGCUGAUGCACGAAGGUGUGGGUAUCAAACAGGAUUAGAUACCCUGGUAGUCCACACAGUAAACUAUGAAUACUCGCUGUUUGCGAUAUACAGUAAGCGGCCAAGCGAAAGCAUUAAGUAUUCCACCUGGGGAGUACGCCGGCAACGGUGAAACUCAAAUGAAUUGACGGGG
rnacentral:rRNA from 1 species